CAGCAGAAAGGAUGACAGAGAGCAGUGGACUCACACUUUAACAAUAUGGACUUCAGGGCAGGACUGCUGCUUUUAACUGUGUUCUUGGCAGGUGUUGAAAGUCAGACUAUAACACAGUCUGAAUCAGUGGUUAAAAGGCCAGCAGAUUUCCACAGACUGACCUGUACAGGCUCCAACAUUGAUUUCAGUAGCAGGUGGAUGGCCUGGAUCAGACAGGCUCCUGGAAAAGGACUGGAGUGGAUUGCAAUCAUCGAAUAUGACAGUGAUAACAUCUUUUAUUCUCAGUCAGUUCAGGGCAGGUUUACCAUCUCCAGAGACAACAGCAAAGAGGAGCUGUAUCUGCAGAUGAACAGCCUGAAGACUGAAGACACUGCUGUUUAUUAUUGUGCUCGAGAGCCACAGUGACUGGAGCUGGUUGAAUGGCUGUACAAAAUCCACCAUAAUGUAUGUUUGUUAAAAAUACAACUUAAGACUAUUCUCUCAUACCCCAGAGACAAUGCUUGUAUGAUUUUGUUGUUAAAAUCAUUGCCAGGAAGAGAAACAACCACAAAUUUUUGUAUUCUGAACGAAAAGUAGUGCUUAUCAGAACAUUGUAGGUCAGUCAGUGUCACAUCUGUCCAUGACUUUUGAAUUAGGCUAUUUUGUCUAUUUUAACAAAAAGAAAAGAAAAAACAAAGGAGAAACCCUGAUUAUGAUCUUUUCUUAACUUUGAUCACUCUUUAGCUUUCAGUUACUCCUGGUGUCAUUAAUUCAUACUGUCCAGUACUCCCCUUCUUCUAAUACCAAGUCACAUCCUCCUUAACCCUUCAGUCAUACUGCAAGCUGCACCCAUACAAAUGUGCAAAAUGUCUUCAUCUGUAUCAUUUCAGGAGGUGAGCGCGAGGAAGAGAAACUGAGCUUUGCAUAUCUGCUUAUUCACUGUCAACUAAACUCUGUGUCUGUUUCAGCUGCUUGUGAUCACACUGAAUCUUCUGUUAUCAAAAUUAUUAAAACCAUUUGUAUAGAAUGAAGAAAUAUAACUGUUUAUAUUAAACCAUAUUCACUAAAUAGGUUUGUUUUUAUAACACAAAUGUAGGUUUUGACUGAUAGGGUAUGAGACAAACAUACAGCUCAUCCUGUCCUGUAUUUUUCUUUUUUAAUGCCGGCGCACAUCCUUCUGAUUCCCACCCAUUCUGCAAAUUGUCACCAUCACAAAAGUGCAAAUUAUCUUCAUUUUUGGUAUCUUUUUGCUGGGAGGAAGAGAAGAAGCUAAAUGUAUUAUUCCCGACUGUGAACAACAAGUUUUAUUGGGAAAAUGCGUUAAAUUUCUUUAAUUCAUUUUAAAAGGACCUUUCUGAGAAUGUGCAGUAGGCUACGAAAAUGUGUCUAAAGAAAGUUAGAAACAGCUGAGAACCAAAGUCAUUGACAUCUGUCAGUCUGGGAAUGGUUACGAAGCCAUUUCUCAGGCUUUGGGACUCCAGGGAACCACAUUCAGAGCCAUUAUCCAAAAAUGGAGAAAAGUUGUAUAUUGUGUUAUGUAGCCUCCCAGGAGUGGUCAGCAAAAAAUGACUCAUUCAGGAGAUCACAAAAGAUCCCAGAACAA